UGGGUGACCUGCCCUUCACUCUGGGAUAAGCCUGGGAAACUGGGUCUAAUACCGGAUAUGACUCCUCAUCGCAUGGUGGGGGUGGAAAGCUUUAUUGUGGUUUUGGAUGGACUCGCGGCCUAUCAGCUUGUUGGUGAGGUAAUGGCUCACCAAGGCGACGACGGGUAGCCGGCCUGAGAGGGCGACCGGCCACACUGGGACUGAGACACGGCCCAGACUCCUACGGGAGCAG
rnacentral:rRNA from 1 species